rnacentral:rRNA from 1 species
AUUGAACGCUGGCGGCAUGCUUUACACAUGCAAGUCGAACGGUAACAGGCCUUCGGGUGCUGACGAGUGGCGCACGGGUGAGUAAUGCAUCGGAACGUACCCAGAGGUGGGGGAUAACGCAGCGAAAGCUGUGCUAAUACCGCAUGUGAUCUGAGGAUGAAAGCGGGGGACCGAGCAGCAAUGUUUGGCCUCGCGCCUUUGGAGCGGCCGAUGUCGGAUUAGCUAGUUGGUGGGGUAAAGGCCUACCAAGGCGACGAUCCGUAGCUGGUCUGAGAGGACGACCAGCCACACUGGGACUGAGACACGGCCCAGACUCCUACGGGAGGCAGCAGUGGGGAAUUUUGGACAAUGGGGGCAAGCCUGAUCCAGCAAUGCCGCGUGCGGGAAGAAGGCCUUCGGGUUGUAAACCGCUUUUGGCAGGAACGAAACGGUGUCCGCUAAUACCGGGCGCUAAUGACGGUACCUGCAGAAUAAGCACCGGCUAACUACGU